rnacentral:rRNA from 1 species
GCAACUCGACCUCAUGAAGUCGGAAUCGCUAGUAAUCGCAUAUCAGAACGAUGCGGUGAAUACGUUCCCGGGCCUUGUACACACCGCCCGUCACACCACGAAAGUUUGUUGUACCCGAAGUCGGUGCCUUAACCUCGCAAGAGGAGAGAGCCGCCCAAGGUAUGGCCGAUGAUUGGGGUGAAGUCGUAACAAGGUAGCCGUAGGGGAACCUGCGGCUGGAUCACCUCCUUUCUAGGAGAGAAGGGUCCUGGAUGAAGCGCUCCUAUUUAGUCUUGUGAAGGAUCCGAGUGGAAGCCGGGACCGGAGAGAUACCGGGCCUGUAGCUCAGAUGGUGAGAGCGCACGCCUGAUAAGCGUGA